UACGUAGGGUGCGAGCGUUAAUCGGAAUUACUGGGCGUAAAGCGUGCGCAGGCGGUUUUGUAAGACAGGCGUGAAAUCCCCGGGCUCAACCUGGGAAUGGCGCUUGUGACUGCAAGGCUGGAGUGCGGCAGAGGGGGAUGGAAUUCCGCGUGUAGCAGUGAAAUGCGUAGAUAUGCGGAGGAACACCGAUGGCGAAGGCAAUCCCCUGGGCCUGCACUGACGCUCAUGCA
rnacentral:rRNA from 1 species